rnacentral:rRNA from 1 species
CCCUUAGAUGUUCUGGGCCGCACGCGUGCUACACUGAGUGGAUCAGCGGGUCAGGUUGCGCGAAAAUGUUUCCUAAUCUUGAAAUCCGCUCGUGAUGGGGAUUGACGGUUGCAAUUUUCCGUCAUGAACGAGGAAUACCUUGUAAGCGCGGGUCAUCAUCCCGCGCUGAAUACGUCCCUGCCCUUUGUACACACCGCCCGUCGCUCCUACCGAUUGAGUGGUCCGGUGAGGCUUUGGGAUCUGAGCGGAAAGAGCGUUUCGCUGUUUCUGCUCGGAAAACUCAGUCGAACCUUAUCAUUUAGAGGAAGGAGAAGUCGUAACA